rnacentral:misc_RNA from 1 species
GUCUUUAAUAUGUGAAAUCUUGAAUUUAAAUUUUAAUUAUAAAAAUAAUAUAAAAAUAAUAAAAUAAAUAUCUUUCAAUUUUUUUCAUGGUAGGAAUGGAAUUGACAUAUCUAUUUAGCGGUUCUAUAAUUUUCUCUAAAAUUAAAUUGUAAAAUCAUAAAAUUAAGCUUCAAUCAAAACUAAAUUAAAUUUCAAUCAUUCAAUUUAAUGAUGAACCAAAAGAAAAAUAAAUGAAUAACAAAUUGCAUCAACUUAGAUUAACCAAAGACUUACAUUUCUAUAUAAUGAUUCAUACUAAUGAAAACAAAGAGUAAUUUAAGAGAGAGAGAAAUAAUAAUUAUUUAGGAGAUUGGAAUCAAAUAUAUUAUCUAAGAGCAUGAGUAAUAUUCAUUCCAAUAUUUUAUAUGCCAUUUCUGGGAAAAAAAAACUUGUGUCAAACUAUGGGCUUUAAUUAAUUUGAAGAACUAGGAAACUGCCACCUCCAACUAAGUUGAUGAUCUUUGACGAAUACAUAAACUUAGUGAAGUGAUUAGUGAAAAUUCUAUUGGCAGUUCCAAAUUCCGUUUGCAUUAUUACAUGAAUCCAUCUUUUGAAGACUAAUUUCA